UAUUAGAGAUAGCUACUUUCGGUAUAAGCGAAAAAAUAAGUUGCCGACAGGGUCAUCAGCAGAACAAAAGGUACCUAAAUGGAUACUGUUUAAUCGUCUUUUAUUUCUUGACAAAGUUUCGAGUGAGAGAUUAAGUACUACUAAUAUAAAUGAAGGCGAGACAGAAAUGACAGAUAACGUGGAUGAGGUUGAACAAACAAAUUCUCAGUUGUCAUCGCAAAAUGCUGAAAAUGUGGGAAUUAUAGCUGCAGCAGCAACGACUCGCACAAGUUCAGCCGAUGCAGUUUUCCUCUCAACUACAGGUACGCGUCGACUUAAUCGCAAAAAAAGAAAGCCGGACUCAAGUAACGACAAGAUUAUAGAGCUACUAAAGAAAAGAGAGGAACAAAGACAAGAAACUUUCCGAGGAAUAUUUCAACAGUCGCAAGCAUCAACCAACGGUCCCCUUCAUUCAUUUUGUGAACACAUUAAAUCGGUGCUUGAAUCAUUGUCGCCUUCUCUACAGAUAGAAGCCAAAAGGCAUAUUUAUAAUACCGUCAGUAAGUACGAAUUACUAGCAGUCCAAAGUAAGCACUCCGUUUCCACGGGAGAGGUCUCUAUCAGUACAUACAGAUAUGUCAAAUUCUAAUCCUUUUAACUCUCCACCGAUGCAGUCCCCAGAAAGUUUUUUACCGCCUCAAACUAGCACCGAUUGUUCGCAAGGAGCUGAAGAUAAAGCUGAUGAUGAAAUAGAUUUUGAAUCAGUACUUUUAAAGUUGUAAAUUACAAUAGCGUUUAGACUUAAAUUGUAAAAACUUACCUUAAUGUGAUAAAAAGUUUUUCUUCUGGA
rnacentral:lncRNA from 1 species